AGUCAAUAGAUACCCUGGUAGUCCACGCCGUAAACGAUGAGUACUAGGUGUAGGAGGUAUCGACUCCUUCUGUGCCGCAGUUAACACAAUAAGUACUCCGCCUGAGAAGUACGGUCGCAAGAUUAAAACUCAAAGGAAUUGACGGGGCCGCACAAGCAGCGGAGCAUGUGGUUUAAUUCGAAGCAACGCGAAGAACCUUACCUAGACUUGACAUCUCCUGAAUAGCGCAGAGAUGCGUGAAGCCCUUCGGGGUCGAGAAGACAGGUGGUGCAUGGUUGUGUCCAGCUCGUGUCGUGAGAUGUUGGGUUAAGUCCCGCAACGAGCGCAACCCCUACUUAUUAGUUGCUACCAUUAAGUUGAGCACUCUAAUGAGACUGCCCGGGUUAACCGGGACGGAAGGCGGGGAGUGACGUCAAAUCAUCAUGCCCCUUACUGUCUAGGGCGUACACACGUGCUACAAUGGUGAGAACAACGAGAUGCAAUACCGCGAGGUGGAGC
rnacentral:rRNA from 1 species